rnacentral:lncRNA from 1 species
AUUACCAAACUUGCAGAUGGAGGUAGGAGGAACAGAGGGUUUGUUGAUGGAUGGACUCAGGAUUUACAACUAUCUUUAUAGGUUCAGGCCUAUAAAGAGGCCUCAUCAACUGGAGAAGGAGCAGAAGCCUGGAAGCAACCCAAGUGUCGUCUUUAGAGGACUGGGUAAUCCGUGAACAUCCCACACAUGAAUACUACACAGCAGGGCAAAGGAGCAGGGCUGCUGUCUGUGCACAGACCUGGCAAGCUUUCCAGAAAAUGCCGUGAAGAGACAAAAGCAAAAAGCAUUGAAGUCUACCAGACUACAGUUCAGAGAUGCUUCCUUAUGAGUCACUUAAGUGCCUGUGUGAUUUCACUGUAGACUGAGGAGGCUGGUCCCAUCACCAGCGCCCUUGACCUCCACAGCUGCUGUUGGAUCUAAGAUGGCCUCAUCCACAUGUCUGCCAGCGGGGGCUCCUCAGUUCUUCUCUGGGAAGUGUCUCCUUCUCCCAAAGCCACAUGCACCUUAUCACAACAUGGCAGCCUCAGGGUUUCAAGAGGGAGAGAGAGGAAGCUUCAAGAUUGCUUAAGGACUAGGCUCUGUAAUUUAUACAACGCCACUUCUGUCAAAUUCUACUGGCCAAACUGGAUUCAAGGGUGAGGAACUAGACCCCACAUCUUGAUGGAAGAAUAGACAGUGUCAUUGACAUUGCAAAGGGCUUUAAAACAAGGAGGCGUGAUUCAUUGGAGGACCAUUAUUAAAAACAAUCUGCCGCAUCAGUGGCUGGAAUAUGGACACGAUGCUAUUAAGUAGAAUUUAAGCAGCUGUCUUGGACAAGCUCUGGAGGCCCUGUGCUAAGAAAAUUGGAGAAACAACUUGGAAAGAGUCCCUGACACUUUGUGAAGCCUCCUUAUGAACCAUGGACUGUCUACCUCCAGUGUGGUUUCAUUUGAGAGGUCGAUAAAUGCCUGUAUUGUUUAGGCCACUGUCAUUUUGGACCUUCUGUCACUUGCAGCCAAAUCUAAUCCUAACUUACAUGCUUUCCAAUACUCACCCUCUUACAUUUUCAGCUCUACUUACCAGCCGAGGCUACCACCACACAGAGUGUACUGCAGUUUCAGGCUUGGAGAGGAAGGGAGGAAGCCUAACCCUCGGGAGACCCCGUCAUGUUUUGAUGUCAUUGCAUGUCCCAUUUGGCCAGCCCGGAAAAAAUAAAAUGAGGAAGAAUGGCCCACAAACAACCUGGACAGAUAGAAGGCUGCUUUUAAAGAAGCUCACAGACACAGCUGAUUGAUUCUGCGACCUUGCUUUGUUACUCAUCUCUGAGUUUAGAGGCUUCACUGCCAGGGACCUUGUCCAGAGUUUCUGAGACCUCCAACAGCCUGUGGUCUCCUGGUCACUCAGACCCUACUGGUGGCUUCAGAUGCUGGAUCUUGCUGAUGUUUGAAUUAGCUCUCUGUGAAGGGCAUGCUGGUGAGGCCACAUACCAGGAAACCAUGACAAACAACAGAAUUACAGUCUGGUUAAAAAAGAAAAUAUACAUAUGCACAUAUGUAUAUUCCCCUACCCCAGGGGUUGAGACUUUUUUUGGCAUAAAUUUACAUAUAUUUUGGCACAAAUUUGCAUAGAGGUACACGAGAACCUCUCAUUUACAGCACUAAAAUUUGUAUUGUUCCCCUUAGACCCUUGUCACUGGCUGUUACUAAUGUACUGAGUUUCACCAGUUUGUCCUCCAUUUCCUAGAAUUUGUUCUAAUUUUUAGGAAAUGCUUACUAAAUAUCACCAUUGUGUGUGGUGAAAUCCAGCCCUAGAGGACAUCAAAAGGUCUCUUGUUAGCUGGUAGCUAUUGUUAGGUAUUAUCUGUAGAGACAUCGGGUUUCCUGGAAACAUCCCAUAGAGCUGUCCAAAAGUAUUAAUUAUUAAAUUGGGCCUUUAACUGUAUUUAUAGAAAUUAUAAUAUUACGUUUAUAUGUAUAGAAAAGAGAUUAUAUCUAAGCCUUAUAUCUGUAUAAAAAAAGGAUUUUACCAAAAGUACUGGAAGGUGCAUUAUAGUUACUCUCAAAUGUAAUAUUAGGGAUUUAUAUUUACAUAUAUUUGAGACAGGGUCUCACUCUGCCCAGGCUGGAGUGCAGUGGUGUGAUCUCUCGCCUCACUGCAGCCUCCACCUCCUGGGCUCAGGUGAUCCUCCCACCUCAGCCUCCCAAGUAGCUGGGAUUACAGGCACACUCCACCAUGCCUGGCUAAUUUUUUAUAUUUUUUGUAGAGACAGGGUUUUGCCAUGUUGCCCAGGCUGAUCUCAAACACGUCGGCUCAAGUGAUCCUUCCACCUAGGCCUCUCAAAGUGCUAGGAGUACAAGCAUGAGCCACCAUGCCCAGCCAAUAUUAGAUAUUAAUCAUUGUUCAAGAACAAUGUUAUCAAACCUACCUGUGAGCUGGGGCAAGUUGUGUCACUCCCCUGGAGCCUCAGUUUCUUCCUCUGGAAACUGAGGGAAACUACACCAAAUCUGAGUGUUUCCCUAAUCUCAGGCAGCUGACGUCCCCUUUAGAAUUUUUGCCAUCUUCUCAUGUCAUUUAUACUAUUUCUUCAUAUUUUUCUGGAAUUUAAUAACUUUUCAACUUAAACUGGCAUGAUCUACCUUAGCCUAGUCCCAAGCAAAAAUCUCUGUGAAACUACGUGUUCGCUGUACUCUUUUUUCUUGCAUAUUAAAAUAAAUGCAUGACUCUUAAAAUGUUUUUAAGGUGCUCGUUUGUAUUCACUUGAAAUUUUCUCAGGUCCUGCUGCACUUUGAGAAUGUGAUACAAAAAGCUUCAGUGGUGUGCACGAGGAGCUUGGUAUAAGGCCCAGCCCUAGCAGUCAUAAAUGGUAGCUGAGGCAGAAACAGCUAGGUUCCUACCUCAACAUUCUCCUUUCAAUACAGUAACGUGCUGACUUUCAGUUGGGCACACAACCGAAACCAUUUCCCAGGAUUCUUCGCAGCUAGAUAGAACCAUGUAACUUUAUAAUAUAAAUGUAAACAUAAUAUUUUGGACUAUGCUUGGACUAAACAAAACAUUUAGUAAAGCUGGGCAUGGUGGGGUGUGCCUGUAGUCCCAGAUACUCUGGAGGUUGACAGGGCAGGAGGAUCGCUUGAACCCAGGAGUUUGAGGCUGCAGUGAGCUAUGAUCUAUGAUCACGCCACUGCUCUCCAGCCUAAACAACGUAGUGGGACCUUGUCUCUAAAAAAAGAAAAUACAUUUAAAAAUAUAUUUGGUGAGGUUUCUGAGUAUCCCCCUUACGAAAGAGAAGGCAUGUACUUCUGCAACUUCCUCCAUUCUGCUUACUCAAACUUGAAUGGGAGGGCAGCUAUUUCAAACCAUAAAGAUGAGGGCUGUCCCCUAGGGAUGGUAGAACUAAGAGCCAGAAAAGACUAAGUUCUCGAUAAUCAUUUGGAACUGCAAUAGUGGUCCUGGACUACCUAUCUCUAGACUUCUUUUACAUAGGGAGAAAUAUACUUCUCUGUGAAGCCACAACCUUUUAGGAUUUUCUGUCACUUGCAGGUGAAUAUAAAUCUGUUGGAUACAAUAUUGUGUGCAUGGUAGGUGGGCCGUCAGUGGUGAGCCGGGGCUGCCAUUCAGGUAAGAACUGACUGUUAAAUUUUCAUGAAUUUUGCAUGCUGGUGAAUGUCACGUUGGUAGCCUGAAAUUGGCCAUGGUGGGAGUAUUUACACCACAGGAAUUGGCAAAUGCUACAUACACAUCAGGGCUUUAUUUCCUCCAAGAGAUCUGGUUAUUGACUACUUACCAUCUACCACCACAUCACUGUGGGAUUAAGGAUUUUAUCCACUAAAGUUUGUUCAUAUAGAGAGGUGAUCUGACCUCUUCAUUUACCCUCAAUUUGUUCAAAUUCUAAGUCAUGGACUAUAUCGGACCUAGACUUCCAUAUUGUCUAAUUCUGAUCUUGAAUGGAGGAAGCUUGAAUGUUGCUUAUAGGUCUGCUGUGGUCAGUGCUCAAGAGGUCAAUAGUAAAAGAGCCUGCUCAUCCCUCGCUGUGGGGAUAAUGAUUAGAAGGGAUGGGAAAUUAGCAUUCUGACUUUGCCAUCGGGUGUGAGAAGCACUGAAGCUCACAUACAAAUAAUUAACUUGCCAACCAGUUUUUCUUUUUCCUUUUAAAAGGUGGAAGCAGAUAAGUUGGGAAUAGAUACGCCCACAUUCAGAAUUUACUGCUACAGCACAAUUAAUUAUAUUUAAACAACAUAUGCUGCAUAUUGAUUAAGCACAAAUGUAAACCCUUCAUAUAAAUUAAGCUAAUGAAUUUAACUUUUCCAUAGUCAGAUCUUAUCUUUAGUGAUUCUUUUUCAUAUAUUUCUAUAGGUAUAAAGUUGUCAGGUAUAAUCACUGUCAAAUGGUUAACCAUUUGCUUUGAUAUCCUUUCUGUUCAGUUAGUGUUCAUGCGUGGUUUCACCUCAACCCAGGGAGACAGUCUCACACUUUAGGGGAUGGAUUAGUGUACCUUCAUGGGACAGCAGAGGCUUUUGCAUAGACGAGUUCUGUUGAAACUCUGGUUUCUCUAUGCUUACAGCUGCCUAACCUUACAGUAACUUAUUUAACUACUGUAUCAGUUAUCCAUUGCUGCAUAACAAAUGAUCUCAAAACUUAGUGACUUCAAACAACAAUUUAUUAUUUCUCAUGAUUCUGGGGCUUGACUGACUGAUUUUUCUGCUGGUCUUGCCUGGGCUCACCCAGGUCCCUGCAUUCAGCUAGUGUCUGGGAUGGAACUGUUAACCACAGAGUCUUGGUUUCUUCCCACGUGCCUUUUCUUUUCUUUUCUCUUUUUUUAGAGGGAGUCUCGUUCUGUCGCCC